CUGGAUGUGUGCCUCUUGGUGACACCUUGGCUGGCUGUAUGAAUUUCUGGUCACCCCUCUACUGGGCCAGCAGAACUGAAUUGUGAGGCCACUGGAAAACCGGACUUAGGCAUGUGUGAGGAAGAUAUUUGCAAACUGGACUCCUGAACUGGGCACCUGGCUGUGAGCUUUGGGCCAUGGCUGCAGUGCCGUGACCACUGUUGAGGAGUACAACUGAUCAACGUGAGAUGGAGUGAUGCAAUAAAGAAGGCAGCGCUAUUCCAAAUGGUUUUAAAAGACCCAAGCAUCUCACGGUGUCUUAUGUUAAUCAGCAUAGAGUUAGUACCAUCUGUUUGCCUGAGUCUUUGCUAAGUGCUAAGGUCCAGUGGUACUCUAAGGGGCCCUUAGUGGUCUG